rfam:Fusarium oxysporum Fo5176 contig03907, whole genome shotgun sequence.
ACAUACGACCACAGCUCGUGUAGAAUACGGGGUCCCGUCUGCUCCCCCAUCGUCAAGCCACGAAGCGCCGGAUUAGUAGUUGGGUCGGUGACGACCAGCGAAUACCUGGUGUUGUAUGUC